rnacentral:rRNA from 1 species
UACGAAGGGGGCUAGCGUUGUUCGGAUUUACUGGGCGUAAAGCGCACGUAGGCGGCUUCCUAAGUCAGGGGUGAAAUCCUGGAGCUCAACUCCAGAACUGCCUUUGAUACUGGGAGGCUUGAGUCCGGGAGAGGUGAGUGGAACUGCGAGUGUAGAGGUGAAAUUCGUAGAUAUUCGCAAGAACACCAGUGGCGAAGGCGGCUCACUGGCCCGGUACUGACGCUGAGGUGCGAAAGCGUGGGGAGUAAACAGG